CCUACGGGAGGCAGCAGUAGGGAAUUUUCCACAAUGGUCGCAAGCCUGAUGGAGCAACACCGCGUGAGUGAAGAAGGGUUUCGGCUCGUAAAGCUCUGUUGUUGGAGAAGAACGUGCGUGAGAGUAACUGUUCACGCAGUGACGGUAUCCAACCAGAAAGUCACGGCUAACUACGUGCCAGCAGCCGCGGUAAUACGUAGGUGGCAAGCGUUAUCCGGUUUUAUUUGGUGUAAGGCGAGCGCAGGCGGUCGCUUAGGUUUGAUGUGAAAGCCUUCGGCUUAACCGAAGAAGUGCAUCGGAAACCGGGCGACGUGAGUGCAGAAGAGGACAGUGGAACUCCAUGUGUAGCGGUGGAAUGCGUAGAUAUAUGGAAGAACACCAGUGGCGAAGGCGGCUGGCUGGUCUGCAACUGACGCUGAGGCUCGAAAGCAUGGGUAGCGAACAGGAUUAGAUACCCGUGUAGUC
rnacentral:rRNA from 1 species